GUCACAGUGAAGCUGGAUAAUCCAAUGGAAUUUAUCUCACAAAUAUUGGAAUCUAAAGACACUGGAACGGAAUCUCUUGAGGUAACUACCUGCGCGUUUGUAUACCAACAUCCUGAUUUAAGGGAAGAGCAUCUUAAGGCCAUUAUGGACAUUAAAGGAAACAUAAACUGGAAACAGAGAGAAAAACUUUUGUAUUUUGUGAAAGAGCAAAAAGCACCUACUCCAGAUGAUCAAAUUUUGUUCUUCAAUGAGGUCGAAGUGAAAUCUAGUUGGUGGAACCGGUUCUGCUGCUGCUGCUGUUGAUUUGAUGCAUCAUCUUCAUCAUAUGACAAAAGUUGGGGCAUAAAAAUGUUCUAAUAUUUGA